CAAGUCUUAAAGUGGUCCAGUUUGGGGACCUCUGGCCUAGUCUGAUGGACCUUAUGUGGAUGACCCCAGAACCAAGUGGGGAAAGUCCUUUGUGUGGUUUCCAUUCAGUGAAGUCCUGUCAACCCAGUGAAGUUGAACAAGCUCUUUUCUUGGACUUUGCUUGUCCAGAUCACGACACAGGUUGCAGAUGUCCCCACUGUGAGUGUAGUUACCUUCAAGGUGUUCGAAACUGCGCAUUCUGGAACAGAUUAGGCAUUGUGCAGAUAGGCCCAGGUGGUUGUUGAUGGUGCCAUCACAACAGCACUUAGCAUUAGCAGUUAUAUAUCACUUUCACUAUGGUUUACAGCCCUCUCUAAGCGGUUUACAGAGUCAGCCUCUUGCCCCCAACAAUCUCGGUCCUCAUUUUACCCACCUCGGAAGGAUGGAAGGCUAAGUCAACCUUGAGCCGGUCAGGAUCAAACUGCUGGCAGUGGGCAGAGUCAGCUGGCAAUUGUGCUUUCUAGCCGCCGUGCCACUAUGGCUCUUUUCAAACAUUCUGAAACUGGCCCUCUUGAGUCGGGGUCAUCGCGGCCUGCUGCUUUCUUUUCUCCUCCUGCCUCUGCUAAUCCUGGUUUCUGCUCUACUUCUUUUGUGCCUUCGGGAAGGAAAAGCUGAGCUCACCGCCGAGAGCCUCAUACCAGGCCUCGAAGCGCCUGUGCCCCAGCUCCCAUCCUUGCAGGCGGAUUCGGUGGCUUCGAGCAGAACAGAUUCAAUCACUGUGGAUGACUCCUUGCUUGAUUGCUCUCUGCUUUCUAACCCUGGCACUGAUCUCCUGGACGAGUUUGCUCCUUUAGCGGUUUCAUCCCAAACUCACAAAGAAGAUACUAACCUGAUAUCAGGCUUUGAUGUCCCUGGGGGCUCUGAAAAAGUGGCAGAAGAUGAGUUUGACCCCAUCCCUGUGUUAAUAUCCAAAAAUUCACAAGGUGGGCAUUCUAGAAACAACAGUGGGAGCUCUGAAUCCAGUCUUCCCAACCUAGCCAGGUCUCUCCUGCUAGUGGAUCAGCUGAUAGACCUGUAGCGAUUACUCAGUAACAGGCGGCUUCUGUAACGUACCUAAACUCCUUUUUUGUUCUCUCUCUCUCUCUCUCUCUCUCUCUCUCUCU